CGGGAAGAGCUCAAAUUUGAAAUCUGACGGUUCCGCCGUCCGAGUUGUAAUCUGGAGAAGCGUCUUCCGUGCCGGACCGUGUACAAGUCCCUUGGAACAGGGCGUCGUAGAGGGUGAGAAUCCCGUCUUUGACACGGACCCCCGGUGCCAUGCGAUGCGCUCUCGAA
rnacentral:rRNA from 1 species